GUUGACACAGGAGAUGGUGUUCCUCCUCUUUUGAAGAAACCGCAGCCGAAGAUGCGCUGCUGAUGACGCCUACAGAACC
rnacentral:ncRNA from 2 species